rnacentral:rRNA from 1 species
GACAGCAGCCGCCGCGGGAAUACGUAGGGUGCAAGCGUUAAUCGGAAUUACUGGGCGUAAAGCGUGCGCAGGCGGUUAUAUAAGACAGAUGUGAAAUCCCCGGGCUCAACCUGGGAACUGCAUUUGUGACUGUAUAGCUAGAGUACGGCAGAGGGGGAUGGAAUUCCGCGUGUAGCAGUGAAAUGCGUAGAUAUGCGGAGGAACACCGAUGGCGAAGGCAAUCCCCUGGGCCUGUACUGACGCUCAUGCACGAAAGCGUGGGGAGCAAACAGGAUUAGAUACCCCGGUAGUCCCUGUCUCUUAUAC